GAUGAACGCUGGCGGCGUGCUUAACACAUGCAAGUCGAACGGAAAGGCUCCUGCUUGCAGGGGUACUCGAGUGGCGAACGGGUGAGUAACACGUGGGUGCUCUGCCCUGCACUUCGGGAUAAGCCUGGGAAACUGGGUCUAAUACCGGAUAGGACGAUGGUUUGGAUGCCAUUGUGGAAAGUUUUUUCGGUGUGGGAUGAGCUCGCGGCCUAUCCGCUUGUUGGUGGGGUAAUGGCCUACCAAGGCGUCGACGGGUAGCCGGCCUGAGAGGGUGUACGGCCACAUUGGGACUGAGAUACGGCCCAGACUCCUACGGGAGGGAGCAGUGGAGAAUAGUGCACAAUGGGCGCAAGCCUGAUGCAGCGACGCCGCGUGGGGUAUGACGGCCUUCGGGUUGUAAACUCCUUUCGCUAGGGACGAAGCGCAAGUGACGGUACCUGGAGAAGAAGCACCGGCUAACUACGUG
rnacentral:rRNA from 1 species